GUACAUCAAUAGAAAAUAGAAAUAGUAAAAUCUUCAGUUCGAACUCGGCUUGAACGUUGUGUACUGCGGCGGCUUCUCGAUCUUGCAGUGGGGCUUCAGGGUUGCUAAACGAUCUGGUUUGAGAAACAGCUGCUCCCCCUGCACAAUUUUCAUCUUAAGGAUCUUAAGAGGAUACGAAUCUGGUCGCGUUCAAGGCACGCCAGUAAUGUAACCAGAAGCUUCGGACAAAUAAAACUCUACAGGUUAUGAACGAAGUGGCAUCAAUGAUAGUUUCGAGAUGCGAGCAGCAAAGCUAAUUAAUCGUUACAAUGAUUUUGCGCAAUGAUAAUGAUGAUCCACGAUCGGACGAAGUGCAAAUGAGAUGAAAUGGAGGAAAAAGAAAGAGAGAGAGAAAGAGUGGGGGAGAAGAAGGUCUCGAUGAAUAUAAAAGGUAAUCCACGAUAUUUUUUUUCCAUUUAAAAUUAUUUCCAAGAUGUUACAACAUGGAGCAAAUUGCGAAUCGAUUGGUUCGAUCGUUUUACCGAUAAAAAUUACACGGAAGAAUAGAGAUUCGAUGGCGUUAUAGCAGAAAUGGUUGUAACCGCUACUUACGUACACGUACCUAAUGACAUUACCUACAAGGGCAUUGCGGUAAUUGGGAGAGGGACACCGCGGUGUCUAGAUGCAACCAAAUGCAUGCGUAAUACACCCUACUGGUCGCAUAAAUCACUCAAAUGACUAUCUCGAUCGGGGAAGGGACAGCGGCUAGUGGUCAAUACUUGUGCAAGUCUAUAUUGUCUCUUGGUGGUUAGUAUUACGAUCGGAGACGAUAAACGUGAUAUACUUUCAACGUGUAUAUAUAUAUAUAUAUAUAUAUACAAGUUUAUGAGAUGAUAGUUCGUAACUGUAAUACGUGUAUUCUGUUCUUUUCAAAGCACUAUUCUAUCGUGCAGAGCAUGAGUGUAGUAUGUACAUGAAUCCUUUGAAAUCGUUUUUUUUUCGUUCUUACUGAGUGUGAAUGAACGUCAGUAGAGGUCUAACGAGUGAAUUUUUCGAUUGGAUGGUAUUUAAUGGGAAAGCAUAACGUAACCGAUUAUCGUAAAGACACGUGUAUCUGUAACGUUUCUAAAUAUAUAUUCAAUGUACGAUACUCUAACACGAUAUUUUCGUUCACGAGAUAACUUUGAAUUUAUAUAAACGAGAGAGAAAAAAAGGAAAAAGAAAAAGCUAGAUGAGAAGUGAUGAUGAUCGAUGAAAAUAAACAGAGAUAGAAUAAGCAUAUGGAAUAAAACUGUUUUAAUUAAUCAGACAGGAAAUAAAUGGGUUUUUUCAUGCUAGAAAUCGUACAUCGUUUUUCAUAAGUUUUCAAGUCGCUUGUAAAUAUCUAAAAGAUGUUAACGGAUGCUAAACUCUCGAACAUGAAACUUUUGCUACAAUCAACGCUUCGAAGAUCUUGAAUUUUCCUUGAAAUUUUCGUUCAACUUUUGACGAAAGAGGAGGAAUCAUGCUUGGCAAUCUGUAUCUGUACAGGAUUAUACAGGUAAUGCGGAAAACCAAAGCAGCUGAAAACACGGCUAUGAACUUAAUGCUUCUACGUCUUGUUUUUCGCGGACACCAGGCCGCUCUCUAGCCGGAGAAAUGGGUUUUCGCGGGGCCAAAAAAAUUUCACCUUUACCGCGUAUACUUGCGCGAAUGUAAUGGAGCAAACGCGAUGCUCGUCUAAAUCCAAAGAUAUUUUUGUACCGGUAUUUUUCUCUCCGGUAAACAGUAGCGGGGAUUUUAAGGAAAAAGAAUUCGAAAGGCUCCGGGAAAAAUCACACGUAGAAGGAUUGAAAGAAAAAACUUGAUUAGAUGGUGCUAGGAAUGGAAAAUUAAAAUGAGUUGCCCGGAG